rnacentral:lncRNA from 1 species
UAAAUAUCUCCCGUUUUCACCAUUGUAAGAUUCUCAUUGAUACACAAAAACUCUGGCAAAAAUUAUUUAGUGUUCAUUGCUAUUUUGCUGUAGAUCAACCCAGCUGAAUCAAUACGAAUUAUUUCCUGUCUUUUUUUUUUUGAUAAUUGAUUAUUUACUUUGUUAUCGUUAUGACGUUGUUUUCAUUAUCUUUACAGAGGAUAGUUGAAUUUAGUUUAAUCAUAUUGCUUUUGGCCCUAAUCUCUCUAUUAAUUGUUUAGUCUAAUAACCAAUUGUCUUAGCUUAGGUUGAACACAAAUCUUCUUUUACCUUGGUACAUUAUCACAAAACUACAUCUUGAAGUGAACCAAUCGUAGGUUAUGGUAAUUGGUAUAGGAAAAAAAUAUCCUCCAUGUUCAUAGGAAACGAACAAAUAAUGUUAUGAAGGGGAUUGAAUCAGUUAACAACAAAGGUCAGCACGUUAAUUAAUUAAUUAAUUAACAUAUCCAAAUUGCUGCAGUGGAGAUUAGUGUUUGAGAAUAAAAGGGCGGUGUUACCAGAUUUCACAUGAUUUGAUCUAGAUUAUAAUAAUCCAUAAUUGAAAAUUAUUUUUUAAUGUUAUCUUUUAACUGUAAUUAUAUUUAUUUAUAAUGGAUAGUGCUCUUUGUGGGUGGUAGUAAACUUAGGAAGUCCUUCUCUUUCACAUUUGAUCUUGAUAGCUAUCCACCAUUAAUAAGUUCUUAUUUGCUUAUUAUUCUCGUAUUAGUUAAAUGUGAUGGUCAACUUUAAGAAGAGGAAAAUAGCUAAAUUUGUUUAGUGCUAUUUCCUUCGUCCAUCUUUACUUAUCUGGUAUGUUAAAAGAGUUAGAAAAUUACAUAAGAUGGCCCGCAUAGUGAUGGCUUUGAAUUUGUGUUCUCCACAAGAAAAGUCUUUAAAAACUAACCUUCCUUUCUUUUUAUGUAAAAAACAAAUCAUUUUGCCCCUUUACGCCUCAAAUAUUUUCAAACGAUUCAUGCUCAUUUGUCUCUCAACUUCUAUUUUUAUUUUUAUUUUUUCUUAAUUUUUAUUUAUUUUUUCUUUUUUUCUUAUUUUAAUUCAUUUAUCUCAAUCUUUAUUUUUCUUUUAUUUUUUUUUCCUUUUUCUUUUUUUUCCUCAACCAUUAUCUAUUUCUUUCUCUUUUUUUUUUAUUUCUUUUUUUUAGUUUAUUUGUCUCAACCUUUUUUUUACUUUUUUGUUUUUAUCAUUCCUCUUCUUUUUUUAUCAAAAAUUAUUUUUAAUUCUUUUUCUUCUCAUUUUUGCUCAAUUUUUAUUUAUUUUCUUUUUUUAUUCUUCUCUUUUUUCUUAACUUUUAUUUUUUUUCUUCUCUUUUUGUCCUUUUUCUCAAAUUCUAUUAUAUGUUUCUAAUAAAUAGAAAGUUGGAUAAUCCGUAAAGAGAUCUUCUUUCUUUGACAUCAAAGUAAAUUUAAGGGCAUGACUUGUAAUUUAAAAUUCCUUUGGAAUAAGUCUUGUCUCUAUGACAAAAGUUAUAGACACAUCUCAUAAUUUAGACACAAUGUGGUAGUUUCAAAUCUUAUUCGUGGGACAUAACUUGUUAUUUGAAAAUCUUUGAGUUAAGUCUUGCCGCUAAGGCAAGAGUUAUAAAACAUCUCAUAAAUUAAGACACAAUGUGAUAGUGUCAACACUUGCCUAUUGGGUGUAACUGGGCUAAGUCUUAUAGAGACAAAACUAAUAAAGUAUUACAUAAAUCAAGACACAAUAUGGUAGUGUCAAAUCUUAUUCAUGGGACUUAACUUGUGGGCUAAGUCUUGCCUCUAAGGAAAGAAUUAUAGAACAUCUCAUAAAUUAAGACACGAUGUGGUAGUGUCAACUCUUGUCCACGGGGAGUAACUUGUUGUUUGAAAGUCGUUGGACAAAGUCGUGCCUCUAAGGAAAGAGUUAUAGAACAUCUCAUAAAUCAAGACAUAAUGUGGUAGUAUCAACUCUUACCCAUAACUUGUUGUUUGAAAGUCUUGAUAAAUAAAACAUCUCAUAAUACAAUACACAAUGUGGUAGUAUCAAUUUUUGCCCAUGGGACAUAACUUGUUAUUUAAAAGUCAUUGGACAAGUCUUGCUUCUAGGGCAAGAGUUAAAGAGUAUCUCAUAAAUCAAAACAUAACGUGGUAGUGUCAACUCUUACCCAUGGUGCGUAACUUGUUAUUUGAAAGUCUUUGGAUUAAGUCUUGCCUCUAUGGCAAGAGCUAUAGAGUAUCUCAUAAAUAUAAACAUAAUGUGGUGUGUUAAUUCUUACCUAUGGGGUAUAACUUGUUGUUUGAAAGUUCUUGGGUUAAGUUUUGCCUCUAAGGUAAGAUUUAUAGAACAUCUCAUAAAUUAAAACACAAUGUGGUAGUGUUAACAUUUGCCCAUGGAACGUAACUUACUGCUUGAAAGCCCUUGGUCUAAGUCUUGCCUCUAAGGGAGGAGUUAUAGAUCAUUUCAUAAGUAAAAAACACAAUGAGGUAGUUUUGCUUCUUUUCCAAUAUACGUAACUUGUUGUUUGAAAAUCUUUGAGAUAAGUUGUGCCUCUAAGGCAAGAGUUGUAGAACUUCUCAUAAAUCAAGACAUAACGUGGUAGUGUCAACUCUUGCCCCUGGCAUAACUUGUUAUUUGAAAGUCCUUGAACUAAGUCUUGCCUCUAAGGUACGAGUUAUAGAAUAUCUCAUAACUCAAAAACACAAUGUAAUAGUGUCAACUCUUGCCCAUGAAACGUAACUUAUUAUUUGAAAAUCCUAAGUGUUGUCUCUAAGGCAAGAUUUAUAGCACAUAUCAUAAAUCAAGAUAUAAUAUGGUAGUUUCAACUCUUGCCCAUGAGGUGUAACUUUUUAUUUGGAAGGAAUUGAAGAAAAGAAAAGUAAUAAAAGUUGCGAAAAAAAGAAAAAAUGAAGAAAAAAUAUUUAAAAGGAAAAAAUAGAAAUCAAAGAAAAAAGUAUAGAAGUUGAGAGGAUAAAGAAACAAAAAUAAAGGUUGAGGAAAAAAAUAAAGGUUGAGAAAAGUUAAAACAAGAAAAAAAGAGAAGAAAAAAUGAAAACCAUAGAAAGAAAAGAGAUUUGUUUUGUAAAAAAAAGAGAAGUCGAGAGGAGAAAAGAACUAAAAGUAAGGAUUGAGAAAAACUAAAAAUAAAAAAUAAAAAUCAAAGUAAAAUAAAAAGAGAAAAAAAAAAAUAGAAGUUGAGAGGAGAAAAGGUAAAAAAGUAAGGGUUGAGAAAAAUGAAAAAAAUAAAAAAUAAAAAUCAAAGUAAAAUAAAAAAGAGAAAAAAUAGAAGUUGAAAAAUAAAUAAGCAUAAAAUUAUUUAGAAAUAUUUGAGAUAUAGAUAUAGGGGUGGGCAUUCGGUUUGUUUGGUUAGUUGUUUAAUAUCGAUUUAUUUUUUCAAUUUUCGGAUUGACGAAAAUGACAACCAUAACCAAACCAAAAUAAAUUCAAUUUGGUUCGAUUUCUACAAAUUUGGCUCGAUUAUUUCGAAUUUUUAUUUCAGUUUUGAAGAUUAAAGUAGUGAGCAUUUCUUUGUCAUGACUAGACAUUUAAAUUGAUUUUUUUAGAAAAAUAAUUUUUUUCAAACUUAUUUUUCAUUCCCAAAUAUAAAUAACUCAACAUGAAUGAAAUGAAAUAGCCAUGAGUUUAACAUAACAUAUAACUUCAUUAUGCAUAAGUUUACAUAAAAAGUCCACAAAAUAAGUCAAUAAUUGUCAAUCAGUGUUAAAAUAAGUUAUAAUUAGGGACAUAACUCGUAAGACG